rnacentral:rRNA from 1 species
UGGGGAAUUUUGGACAAUGGGCGAAAGCCUGAUCCAGCAAUGCCGCGUGUGUGAAGAAGGCCUUCGGGUUGUAAAGCACUUUUGUCCGGAAAGAAAUCCUCUGGGUUAAUACCUCGGGGGGAUGACGGUACCGGAAGAAUAAGCACCGGCUAACUACGUGCCAGCAGCCGCGGUAAUACGUAGGGUGCAAGCGUUAAUCGGAAUUACUGGGCGUAAAGCGUGCGCAGGCGGUUUUGUAAGACGGAUGUGAAAUCCCCGGGCUUAACCUGGGAACUGCAUUCGUGACUGCAAGGCUAGAGUAUGGCAGAGGGGGGUAGAAUUCCACGUGUAGCAGUGAAAUGCGUAGAGAUGUGGAGGAAUACCGAUGGCGAAGGCAGCCCCCUGGGCCAAUACUGACGCUCAUGCACGAAAGCGUGGGGAGCAAACAGGAUUAGAUACCCUGGUAGUCCACGCCCUAAAACGAUGUCAACUAGUUGUUGGGGGAUUCAUUUCCUUAGUAACGUAGCUAACGCGUGAAGUUGACCGCCUGGGGAGUACGGUCGCAAGAUUAAAACUCAAAUGAAUUGACGGGGUCAU